CCUACGGGUGGCAGCAGUCGAGAAUCAUUCACAAUGGGGGAAACCCUGAUGGUGCGACGCCGCGUGGGGGAAUGAAGGUCUUCGGAUUGUAAACCCCUGUCAUGUGGGAGCAAAUUAAAAAGAUAGUACCACAAGAGGAAGAGACGGCUAACUCUGUGCCAGCAGCCGCGGUAAUACAGAGGUCUCAAGCGUUGUUCGGAAUCACUGGGCGUAAGGCGUGCGUAGGCUGUUUCGAAAGUCGUGUGUGAAAGGCGCGGGCUCAACCCGCGGACGGCACAUGAUACUGCGAGACUAGAGUAAUGGAGGGGGAACCGGAAUUCUCGGUGUAGCAGGGAAAUGCGUAGAUAUCGAGAGGAACACUCGUGGCGAAGGCGGGUUCCUGGACAUUAACUGACGCUGAGGCACGAAGGCCAGGGGAGCGAAAGGGAUUAGAUACCCGGGUAGUC
rnacentral:rRNA from 1 species